rnacentral:sRNA from 1 species
GUCAUUCAUUGACAUGACUUGAAUGUUGGGUUACGCUACCCUCUGUGAUAAAACCCUUUUGUAUAUAUAAUAUACUACAGUGUAUUUAAUUUAUAAUAAUUGUAUAUUGAAAUUGUACACAUAUAACCAGGGACGUAUAUACUAGUAUAUUUGCCCCUGACAUAUACAUACAUAAAAAAAAAAUACAUGUAUUAGAAAAUGCGUCUUUACCAACAUAACUUGCUGCAUCAGCUGAUUAUUUAAUCCACGAUUUAUGUACACAAAAUGCUUUAUUUGGAUGCUACAUUUCUAAUUUUAUGCAUGUAUGCUUGCUGUCAGUCAUGUUCUGUACUUGAUAACAUUUUAUGUUUCCCUAUAUGUCAUGUUUGGGCCUAUUUUUCAAUAGUCAAUUGUUAACCCACCAAACGUUGCACUGUGCAGCCAAGUUGUAGUGCAAGCUUUCUCUUUAAUUGAUUAACCUAGACCAAAGUUAGUGGGUACUGGAGCCAGGUUGUUGUACAUGUAUAUAUGUGUUUGUGUUAUGUAUUGUGUGCUUAAAUUAAGACUAGUGGACAAGACGCAGGAGGGAACACUUAUAAUCUCCAUUUUAUUAAUUUUUACUGUAACACCUGUUACAAUGUUAAUUGUUUUUCAUCACCGUUGUUUGAUCAGUUUUCUGCAAACAAUUUUAUGAUUUCACAGAAAUUUGUGGUACUUGUAUUUAGAAAUGCAUUCAUUUUAGUUGUUAUUCAGAAGAUAUCUUGAAUGUAGUAUGCCUAUUUAUACAUGAUAAUUAUUUUUUGAUAUAUCACAAGCAAAAACCUUAUGGCUAGGUCAUAAAUAUGAAAAAUUGAACAAUGCUUUAACAUGUUCAAGUUCCCCUGUUAUUGAUAUAAUUGCAGUUUUUCUGCCAGCUAACUUUAUAUACAAUGAGUCUGAUGUUUUCUUUAAACGUUGCUGCCUUUUGGUCUCUGUUUUUUCUCGACUCAGUCCAACAUUGCUGAUUGUCAUGCGAUCUGUACAUACAUGUAUUAUCAUCAAUUCAAUUAUCAUCAUUGAUUUUUUUAAACCCAUUACAUGUAUUUUGUGAGUCCAUUACAUAAUAUUAUGAAACAUUUUUUUCACAGUCCAGUCAUUGUAAUGUUGGAAAUGUAUUUUCAGUAUCUUAAUUGUUUACUGAGCUUUUGUGAUUUUUCAGUGGGACCUUAUAGUUUUUGUUAUUGGUUGUUUGUAAAAACAUUUUUACACUUAUGUACAUGCAUGUAAUGUUUUUGUAAAUAACUGUUGUUCCUAUUUUAAAAAGUAAACAGUGUUUAUACCCAGAAAUGAUCUGAUCAUCAAUAAACCUUGUAGUAUAUAUG